rnacentral:rRNA from 1 species
CAGCCGCCACGGGAAUACGUAGGGCGCAAGCGUUAUCCGGAAUUAUUGGGCGUAAAGAGCUCGUAGGCGGUUUGUCGCGUCUGCCGUGAAAGUCCGGGGCUCAACCCCGGAUCUGCGGUGGGUACGGGCAGACUAGAGUGAUGUAGGGGAGACUGGAAUUCCUGGUGUAGCGGUGAAAUGCGCAGAUAUCAGGAGGAACACCGAUGGCGAAGGCAGGUCUCUGGGCAUUAACUGACGCUGAGGAGCGAAAGCAUGGGGAGCGAACAGGAUUAGAUACCCCAGUAGUCCCUGUCUCUUAUAA